rnacentral:rRNA from 1 species
GACGUAGGGCGCAAGCGUUGUCCGGAUUUAUUGGGCGUAAAGAGCUCGUAGGCGGCCUGUCGCGUCGACCGUGAAAACCCGCAGCUCAACUGCGGGCUUGCGGUCGAUACGGGCAGGCUCGAGUUCGGUAGGGGAGACUGGAAUUCCUGGUGUAGCGGUGAAAUGCGCAGAUAUCAGGAGGAACACCGGUGGCGAAGGCGGCAUCCUGGACCGACAUUGACGCUGAGGAGCGAAAGCUAGGGGAGCAAACGGG